GAUGAACGCUGGCGGCGUGCUUAACACAUGCAAGUCGAACGGUGAAAGCGGAGCUUGCUCUGGUGAAUUAGUGGCGAACGGGUGAGUAACACGUGAGUAACCUGCCCUUGACUCUGGGAUAACUGCGGGAAACUGUAGCUAAUACCGGAUACGACCCUCGGAGGCAUCUCCUGGGGGUGGAAAGAAUUUCGGUCAAGGAUGGACUCGCGGCCUAUCAGCUAGUUGGUGAGGUAAAGGCUCACCAAGGCGACGACGGGUAGCCGGCCUGAGAGGGUGACCGGCCACACUGGGACUGAGACACGGCCCAGACUCCUACGGGAGGCAGCAGUGGGGAAUAUUGCACAAUGGGCGCAAGCCUGAUGCAGCAACGCCGCGUGAGGGAUGACGGCCUUCGGGUUGUAAACCUCUUUUAGCAGGGAAGAAGCUAAAGUGACGGUACCUGCAGAAAAAGCACCGGCUAACUACGUGCCAGCCGCCGCCGUAA
rnacentral:rRNA from 1 species